UCAGUCAGGCCAGUUUCAACUGGUUCUGUGUGAAAAUCUGCACAAGUUACGGUUAAGUGGUUUCUGUUGGUAAAAAAGGAAGAAAACCAAAUCUUACUAAUGGUUUGGGGCUUCUGGUGCGGCUGUUCUGCCAUUUCUCCCUCGCGAUCGCGGUUGUCCUUCUAUUGCCCUACACUAAAAAUACGUUAGAUAGCCUAUGGUCAAGAAAC
rnacentral:lncRNA from 1 species